UUUUUUUUUUUUUUUUUGGGUCACUUCCUUCUUUCAUAAACUUCUUUACGAAACUAAAUUAAAAAAAAAAAAAAAACUGAACUGAAUAGUGUGAACUUAUAGAUUGAACUGUAGACGACAGUGCCUUUAUUGGGAUUGCUCUUGCCCUGUUCAACCAGGCUGUCAUGAGUAGGACUCCGGCCAUAACAUAGUCGAGAGAUCCAAAAUGUUACGAAUCGAUUUACAAGUUUUACUCUAUGUCUUGAUUUCUAGUGUUUAUAUAUAUAUAUAUAUAUAUAUGUAUGGAUAUCAUCUGUUAAUACACGACUAACUAAUAUUUGAAUAAAGUAUUUUUCGCCAUCAAUCCAUUCGGAGGAUUCGCACAAGUACCCGGGACGAUGAUAAAAUCUAAGAUGACAACGUGCUUAAUUAUAUGACUUAACAACAUGGAGAGAAAAUAGACUAAAAUUACUUGGACAAGAUGCUCUACGGUGGUUGUAAUGUCAUUCUCCAAUUUCAAGUUUCUUUGAUCGUGAAAGGCUCAAUAAUUGUUAAUAAUUAUGCAUGCCACAUUCUGUACGAGUGAAUGUGCAUGUAAUAGAUCCGAAUCAUGUGGAAGUUUAUAUACAUAUUUAGCAGCAAAAUUUUGACCCUAAAAGGUUGAAAUUUUAGAAAAUAAUUAAUUUGGCCUCUAAGUGUUGAUGGCGACUCUGAUCUUUCUUUCUUUCUUUCACCUUCUAUUCGACCUCAAUUAAGUAUUUUAGAACCAACGUAGGGAGAGCGCUGCCCUGAAACACCGCCCGAAUACGGGUAGACAAGACUUCAAAUCAACUUGACUAAAAGCUGUCGAAAUGUGUGGGGAUCGAGGGGCCAAAACUUCGAAGCUGAUGUUUUCCGCAAAAUUAAUAUGUUUGCCGCCUGAGUCGUUCUCAUGAUUCCCUGUGGAUAGUAAAUGGUAAUGCAAGCCAAAAAAAAAAAAAAUUUGUGGUGAUGAAUUAAGGCAAGUGCAAAACGUGGUUGGAGCGAAAAACUCUUGCCAAUUGACUAGCGUAUCUGGGCUUCAAUUGCACCCCAUGAAAGCUACAUUUUCAGGCCGGUAAAUAUGCAGUCUUACGUGACUACUGUAGAGCAUCUUGAUAAGCAUAAAGCUUUGUCGGUUGAUUGACUGUGCAGUAAAUGCCGUGCUUUAAGGGCCUACCAUUUCAUUUUGGAGCAUGCACUCAUGAAAUUGCACAUAAAUUCACACCAAAUGUUGGCGCAAUUAUUAGAAAUUUUAGUUGGCUUCAUGGGUUUUCUCUCCAGGCAAAGGAAUCAAGCAGCUAGGAUGCAUUACGGUCAGUUCCAUACUACACUUUCCAGUAGUAUUAUGUCAUUUUUGAGCUGUUUUCUUGAAAUUUUCCUUUUAUACAUCAUGCUCAAAAACUUUAUAAUCAUAGCAACUUCACUUGCGCUCUCAUCAAAUGAUCUAGCUUGUUUCCAUUUGCGUUACUUUCCUAUUUCUUAGUUCAUUUCUUCCGUACUAGCUCAUCAAAUCUUCAGAACUCAUCCAUUUUUUAGGUUGCUCACAGAGUAUAGUUCAUCCACGAGAAGAAGCUCUCAUCCAUUUUUGAGGGCAUUAUCGAAAAUUAAUCAGAAUCGAUUGCAUACCACUUAAAAGUAAGUUUUAUCUUCAAAACGGGUUCAUUUGUCUUUCCCCCCCUUUUUCUCCUUAUAAUUAGUAAGUGUGUCAUCUGAUAGAGAAAGUUCGAUGAAGCAGGUUUGCAGGGACACAUCCACAGGAAAAAGAUAAUAGGGGAAGUUUCCAGGUGAGAUAUAUACUAUAGAAAUGUGCAUGUCCCGUGGUACUCAAUAAUAACAUGCACUAGAGUCUUUCCUCCUACUAUUUGUACGGAUAAACUGCUACACUGAUCGAUUUGGCAUCACUUCCACAAUGGAGUCUGAACAGCUUCCCAUUUGUGCAAUGAAUCAUACAGCAGAUCUAAAAUCUCACUGGCUUAUAUUAUUGGCUUCACGGGAGAAAUUCCAAGAUGGGAUUCCUUGCCUUGUUCAUUGUGGCACUGAUUCCUGUCCUGAAAACACUUAUUGUCACUGCUGUUGGUUUAUUCCUUGCCUUAGAGAAGGUGGACAUCCUGGGUGACACUGCAAGGCAUCAUCUGAACAAUGUAAGUGGGCUAUAUAUUAGUAGUAGCAUUUAUGAAAUUUAUAUACAGAGUCAGUCAGUUGCUGUUGGUGAUCUUAAAAAGAGGCCGAACAGAUUAAUAUAUUUUGUUGAAUGAUUGGACCAAAACAGCUCGUGUUUUUCGUCUUCACUCCUGCUCUAGUUUCAAGCAGCCUGGCAGAAACAAUAACAAUGAGCAGCCUAAUUAAGUUGUAUGUCGAUCUCAUCAAGUCUUUGAAUUUUCUUUCCUUGAAAGAGACUUGGGUUGUAACAUUCAGAUUUUGGUUGGUUUCUAACUGUUUGCAAAUGGCAUUUAUGUUUUUUUAUGUGCAGAUGGUUCAUGCCGGUGAACAUUCUUCUCACCUUUAUUAUUGGUUCGGCGUUGGGUUGGGUGCUUGUUAAAGUCUUAAGAACUCCUCAACAUCUACAUGGCCUAGUUAUUGGUUGCUGUGCAGCAGGUUAUAAAACUCAUCAUAAUUCUGAAGUUCUACUACUAUAAUUUUUCAUUAUUUUGGAAAUCAAGCCGGAGAGUAGCUCAGCCAAGGUCAGGAAUUAGGGGCUAGAUUGAUAUUGGGGAUAAUUUUAGAAACCUCCCUUGAGCUUUUUGAUAAUUUCAAUAGCCUCCCCUAAAAUUUGUAAAAUUACACAUACCUCCCCCAAAGUUAAGGUUUUGAUAACAAAGUUAGUCCAAUUAGAAAAAGUAACAUUAAAAAAGUACUUUAAAGAGAAAGAUGAAACUUUUAUUUCAUAAAUACCCUCAUGCACGUAUAUAAGUCGUAUUAGUAAGAGAAUAAAAAUAAUUAAAAGUUAGGAAUAAUUAAUACACACAUUUGAUCACUCAAAAAGUUCACAUUUAAUAAAUUAGACAAUACAAAUAAGCAACAAAACUAAUUACAAAGUUCAGUAAAACAGACUAGUCAUCUCUUUUAACUUGAUGCUUGCUAUGAUUCUUGUGACAAAACUUAUGUGUAAAUAAAUGCUUUUGCCACUUCUGAACUCAUCAAAUGCAGGGAACUUGGGGAACUUGCUUCUCAUUAUCAUUCCAGCUGUUUGUGAGGAAAGUAACAGCCCAUUUGGAGAUUCAUCAACAUGUUCUACUAAUGGAGAAGCUUAUGCAUCCCUCUCUAUGGCGGUAAUUCUGUCCCGCUUUUCAGUACAAUGACGACUUUGCAAACACCAUUAGUUCCUAGAUAUAUAUAUAUAUAUAUAUAUCCCAGCAAUCUUUUUUUUUUUUUUUAAUUUUCUUAACCUCCUUUUUAUGCCACAUAUAUCAACCCCAUCUCAUGAACACUAUAGUACGACUGUAUUCAAAUUAAACUCUUCUGGAAAACACGGUCCAAAAGUAGAUGUUUCUUAUGUCUAUCUUGUCCAUACCAUUUAUUUAUUUCUCUUUGGCUGAAUAGAUAGGGGCUGUAUUCAUCUGGACGUAUGUUUAUAACAUCGUACGGGCAUAUGGGAUUCGAAGUACAGGUUCCACAAUUAACAGAACAAAUUCUGCCAACGGUGGAGAGAUAGUGACAGAAAGCAGCUUGGAAGAAUCAUUGUUAUCAAAGGAUAUUGAGACUGAUCAUUCUCAUGAUACACCACAGCCCAUUGAGAGUAUUGAAAAUUAUGAGAAGGUUGAUCUCCUUUUCUCAUCUUCCAUGCAUAGUACCAAUUUUUCUGUCUCCUCUUGCACUAGAGUAAGUUGUCACCUCACUGAAGUGUUUGGGUAGUUCUAUAUUUUCUUAUCUACUCCGUUUAUUUCUGAAUCAUAGAGAGAGCAAAAAUAAAAUAAAAAAAAAAUGCUCCCAUUUUGUAGAUUUCAGAAAAUAUGGUAGGUUUUUCUUUUGGGGAAAGCUCUAAGGGGGAAAGAGCGACUUCACUUUAUUUUUCCUAAUAACCAAAAAAAUUCAAUUAUGACAGCAAGUUUAAAAGCUUCCUUUUCCGGAGAAUUACAAAAAAAGUAUAUGUACUUUGACAUUACAAUGUGGAUCAACAAUUCAGAUUAAUUUAGCCAGGAUAACAACCACUCAAGUAUAGAUGUGAAAAUUAAGGGAAAAAAUCGCGUUAAAAUUCGGUAUUUUAGGUGUAAUAUGACCUCUACUGCAUUGUUAAUUUAUUUUCUAAGCUUUUAGAAAUCAUAGAGGUGCCAAUUUAGAAUCUAUUUCUUCCUCUCACUCGUCCCUCUUAUUUACUCAAAUUGUUUCUUCUAGGUACCGAUGCGAAAGAAAAUUAAGCAGCAGCUGAAAAUUUUGGCAGAAAGGAUGAACCUAAAAAUGAUGUUUGCACCGUCCACCAUUGCCACGGUAUGAUCAUACCAUCUAUAAUUUGUACGAAUCAGGAAUUUCAUCUAAUCCUUUUUAAAAAAUGGAACAUCCCAGAAAUUCAAUUGAAUCUAAAAGGGUCAAGGGAAUCAUGAAGCACGUUCCAACAACAAAUGAGCUAGCUAUGAAACAUGUUCUCUAAAUUUUCCAGGCCUAGUAGUACAUUUUUUCCUUGUGGGAUUUCUAUAGCCAAAUGUCGUGUUGUAGUUGGAAGUCAUUGGCCGAGUUAUCUAUGAUUUCAAUUGAAGUGUGAAAGUAAUGUUGAAUAGAUAGUUGGGCUUGCGAUUGGCGCCACCUCUCCCUUGCGAAAGCUACUUAUUGGUGACUCUGCUCCUCUUCGGGUCAUAGAUACCUCUACAUCCAUGUUAGGGUAAGAUCUUGAAAUGGGCUCCUAUUUUGCUAGAAAUGAUUGCGUAAUCUUUAUUAAUUCUUACCGUGCAAGUGGAUUAUCAUGUUGCAAACCAAUGUUUUGAAAAUUGGAUCGAACCGGUCGGUUUGACCAAUUGAACUGCAAACCAGUCGUGUCUCCGAUUCAGUUCAAUAGUUAAUUGAAAAAUUCAAUUGAAUCGGUCCAAUCCGAUCAAGAACAAGUUAGACUAGUAAAAAUCGGGAAGUUCAACUAGAGUUCACUAAUUUUUUUUAUUUUUUUAGAGAAUAUUUCAACAUUAUUCAAAAUUUUUAAUGCUAAUAUAAAUAAAACUGAUUAAACUUUUGAACCAAAAUUGAACCGGUAAACCUCUUCUUGUGUACUCUCCUCUCCAGUCCGGGUUUAACACCAUUGAUUGUAACCAAGCAUGACCAAUCCCAUUUAUAUAUCUCAAAUUCGAGAUAGCUUAACUGAAAAGCUGUCUUGGUUGCUUUCGCACCCCCCAAAAAAAAAAAAAAAAGUGUGUGUCAUGGCCAGCGUGUAAAUCGUAAAUUCAGUUUUUCUUUUUUCUUUUUUCAAUCACUAACCAAACAUUUCAAACUAUUUUCACAGGAAUUUGAAUUCUGAUGACCAUAGUAGCAUUAACAAACGAACUUCAUUAAUGCGAUUGAAUCACAUGCUGUUAUUUAUUUUACACAACUUUCCUCCUAAACCAAGACUACAAGGCUAUGUGUAUAUGGAUGUUUUUUUCUCGAUUAUUUUCUUAGUGCUAUGUGAUUUACUGCAACAGAGACGCAUCAAUACCGGCCAUGACAUUGAUAGUCGGAGCAAAUCUCCUCAAGGGUAAUCUUAAAAUCCUUUAAACAUCUGUCCCGCUAUUUUCAGUCUUUCCUUUUGGAUUCAAGGUUACACUUUUUCUAGGGAGAUGUUAUAGGCACUUCUUAGAAAACCUUUGUCACUCCAUCCUCCCUUUAUAGUAUGAAGGGAGGAGGAUGGAACGCUAGAGGAUUUUUAAGGAGUGCUAAUAUCAUUUUUCUUUUUCUAACCAUGGUUUACUUUAUAAUUCUGUGACAGGUCUUCAAAGAUCUGAAGUCGGGUUGGGGAUCAUAAUAGGGGUCCAAGUGGUCCGUUAUAUCGCAAUGCCUCUCUUGGGCAUUCUUGUUGUUAAAGCUGCAGUUCAUUUUGGACUGGUGGGAUCGGAUUCAUUAUAUCAGUUUGUUCUUCUGCUGCAAUAUGCACUACCAACUGCAAUGAGCAUGGGUAUUGUUCAGUGAGAAUCUCUAAAUUUUAUAUUACUACUCUAAACUUGUAUACUUCUUAUGCGACAGAGAUUAGGUGAAUUUUUGUAAGGAAAUGAAACUCUCAAGAUAUUGAACUGCUCUACCAGACUUGGCCUAAUCUUCCAUUAAUGUUAAUUGUUUGUAGGUACCAUAACGCAAUUAUUUGAAGUUGGGGAAAGGGACUGUUCGGUUAUUAUGCUGUGGAAUUAUGCAGUGGCAGCACUGGCUCUUACUCUCUGGUCAACAUACUACUUGUGGUUUGUGUCUUGAAGUUCCUAAUCUUCAUUUUUUGUGUACGUGCCCCAUGCAAAUUAUUCCAAACAAAAUGGAAGCAAGAUUCAUACUACGUUUGUGGAAAGUCAUCCAACUUGUGCAAGAGGCCUUUUUUUUUUUUUUUCGUUUUUUUUUAUGGGUAAAUCCUUUUGGAUUGCUAAGAUUCUGAAGUUGAAAGUCUUGAUAUGUACAAACGAAACAGCAUACAGAUGUAUCUAUGCAUAUACAAAAUAUCUUAUAAAUUCAAUUUUUUAUUGCAAUAAUCAUUGAAUAUUGUUAUGUUGUUAAUUCAGACAUCUUCUAUUGCAGAAAAACGAGAAAAGACUAUCUCUGUUUACAUUAAUUCUGGGUGAAAAUUGAUACUUUAACCAAAAAAAAAAAAAAAAAAACCAAUUGAACUGCUAUUUUUAAGGUUUUGAGUUCUCAGUUGUCCAUUCUAACAACGCAUAUAUCUUUUCCUUGACACAAUAGCUGUUUAAAUUCCACAUCAAUGCAGAAGGAAACCUGUCUUAACAUUGCCAAUGAAUUUAAAAAAUAUGCAAUGCAUCAUGUGACAGAUUAAAAUUCGCUUGUAAAUACAGUAGAAACUAGUGUGAAUACCCGUGCUACGCACGUUGCUGAUAUUAUUGAAAGAAAUUAAAAGAGAAGGUGAAUUAAAAAAAAGUAAAAAAAAAUUGUACCAAUAUAGUUAAAAUUUAAGAUUUGUCUAACAAUAGUUUAAAGUAUGAUAAAAUGUGUACAUCUUUCAAGAAUUGCGUUUUUACGAAAGUUUUUAUCCUUACACUAAAAAUCUAUUAUUGGACAAUAGUAUGUACAUUAUCACUAUUUGAAUUUGAAAUCUAAAUUUUAUAAAUGUAAGUACAUAUAUCUAUAUAUCAUACAUUCAAUUGUAAUAAUAUUUACACUAUUAAUGUAUAUAAGAUUAAUUUGAAAGGAAAAAAUCAGACUACUUGUAGUAGACUUCGCUUUAGAGAUAUAAUUAUAAAAAAAUGGAGAAGGAUGCCUCAGUUUUUUUUUUCCCUUUGGCACAAACAAAUGAAUCAAUUUCGUCCUUGACAUUUAAAAACUGAAAUUAUUACAUCCCUGAACCCAAAUUUUAAUCUGAAUCAAACCACCAAUCAACCUGAUUACAAAUUUCGGGAAUGUAAUUGGUAGAUCACUUGGUUAACUCAAUUUGAUAUUCAUGUGAAAUUUAAUGAACCUAAAAAGAAAAAAGAAAAAAUUAUAAUAUAAAAAAGAAAGAUUAAUCUUUCCUACAUUAUCAUUGUAUACACUGACGGUUUUAUGUACCGCCAUAUCAUUUUAAUUUAAAUUUAAACACCAAAUUUUAUAUUUAUGAUACACAUCUAGAUUCGCAAGCAGAUAUACUAACAGUGCAUGAAAAGAUUUACCAAAAAAAAAAACUCUACUAUUCCAAGACAAAGAAUGACCUUUUAUGUUAUAAUUUUUAUUUUUUUGGUUUAAUAAAUGUCAUGUGAAUAUGAUGAAGUUGACCAAAUAAUCUAUCAAUUCUAUUUUCGAAAUUUAUUACUGGGUUAUUGGAUGGUUUGAUUCAGAUUGAAAAUUAGGUUCAGGAAUGUAAUAGCUUUAAUUUUUAAAUGUCAGGGAUGAAUUUGCUUCAUUUUAAAAGUGAGGGAUGAAAAGAAUAUUUUUGUGAAAUGUGAGGGAUGAAACAAGUCAUUUUCCCUUAAAACAUUAUUGCUGCGUGAAAUAUGCAAUAAUUGUACCCCUGUCAUAAAUCGAUAUCCUGGUACACUCCGGAUGGCUGGAACAUAUUACUUGGGAUAGACGAAAUAUUAGCUUAUGGCAAUCUAACCUAUUGAGAUAGAUGUAUGGCAAUUGCACUUUAAAUGGGUUUGGAUGCAAAAAAAUUGGAUCAACAAGCAGCAUGCCAUAGACACGCGAAACUGAAAACUUCAGGCUGGGGGGCCUCCAUAGUCCAUGGCCGAGUAUGGGCAAAAACUAUUCAAGAUACCCCAUAAUGUGAAAUAUGAAUAAAUAUGACUGACACGAAUGGGGAUGGGGCUGGUGGGUUCUUUUCUUUGGAUUGCCCACAAAACAGGUCAGAAUAGCCCAAUUGCUCAGCGACGUAACUGUAUGGCCAUACCACCAGAAAAGCUCGUAAUUGUAGCUUUCGUCAGUCCCCCUUUUUUUGACUAUUCUAUAUAUUCGAAUUUAUCGUUGGUAAACCACACUCUCUCCUACUUGUGGCCGUUAAAGAAUCAAGCAGUCCAUCAAAUAAAGUGAUAAACGAGUUGUCUCCAUUCCGUGGAAAAGGCGAAUAUGCGCCAUGCAAUUUUUUCCCCCUUUGGAUGCUGCUAAUCCAAACAUGUUGCCUUACUGAUGCUACUUAAUCACUGUUUUUUUUUUGGGGUUCCCUUUAACGCUACUGAAUCCCUUUUCCUUUUCUUGCAUGCUACUUAAUCCCAACAAGUGCAUUUUGGUUUCCGGGUUUCUGUUGAAAUCAGUCUUGGUAGCAGAACUUUGAGUUCUAAUCAAGUCUUACACAAAAUAAACAAGCCACAGAGGAACUAUUCGGCAGCUGGGUAAAAUGCAUUUUCUUGCUCUUCUUUCAGAACUCUGACGUUUAUAUUUGUUUUAGUAGUAUUAUAGUACUCUGUUUUAUCAGUGUUUGAUAUAUCGGAUUGCUUGACGCUACUCUAUUUAUUAAGUUAAUUAUAAAAGUAGUUCUCCAAGUUGGAGAAGGGACAAAUGGAAGUGUCAUGUGUCUUUACGUAUCUGUUUUUUUUUCCUUAUUUAUUGUUUUCAGACGCCAACAAGCCAAGUUGAAAUUGAAUUUGCUUGUGUCAAAUUCUCUUACAUACUUGAUUAUUAUUUGGCUGCUGGCAUGCACUCACUUUCCAACACAAACUAAGGAUCCUCUGCUAAAGGAUAUCCGUAUGUUGUGCAAAAGUUAGACCAUGGAACAUUAUUAGGGGGAACUUAUUAAGCUAGAGAUUUAAGCACCAUUAUGAUGGUUUAAAUUAUGUAAGAUUUAGUCCAACUUGUCAAGCAGCCAUUACCUGUAUCAUGCCUACAAAAGGUUAUGGAUGUCUUGACUUUGAUAGGAGGAAACAUGGGAUUUACUUAUCCAGCAGGCCAAGGAGCGUUUAUUGUCCCAUAAUAUACUAUUUAGUCGUAAUGAGUUCAGCUGAGGAAGGAAGUUUGUAGAGGAAUUAACUAGAAAUAAUUCCUCUUUCUCCUUUUUGUUUUGUUUUCCUGUAGGAGUUUGGAGUACUUGAAGUUUUCGUAUAUCAUAAUGGGGUUGCUAGAUUUAUUCAUGGUUGCUUCUGUGCCUGUUAUGAAAGUACUCUUAAUUUGCGGACUCGGCUCUUUUCUUGCUUUAGAUCAUAUAGACAUCUUGGGAGAGAGUGCAAGGAAGCAGAUAAAUAAUGUAAGCAUCAACUUUAGCUUUAUCAUUCUUCUUGAACAAUCAUCAGUAACUUUUUCCAAUUUAACGGAGUUGUUUAAUUUGUGUAACCAGGUUGUAUUUUUCGUAUUCAAUCCAGCACUUGUCUCCAGCAACCUGGCUCAAACAAUUACCUUGGAGAACAUCGUAUCAUUGUGAGUACUUCUGAAAUCACUUAUUUCAACAUAAUUUAAUUAAUUUUGCUCUUUGAACGUAAUGUGAUGUGGUUUAAAGGAGAUUUGUUUUGUUUAGUGCUGAUUUUCAGAACCUGUCAGCUUUAGGCUAGAUUUAACUUUAGAUGGAUGUAUUUAGGUGGUUCAUGCCGGUCAACAUCUUGCUGACUUUUAUUCUUGGCUUAUUUUUUGGAUGGGUACUUGGCAAAAUAACUAAAGCUCCUCAGCAUCUGAAAGGCCUUGUAAUAGGUUCAUGUGCAGCAGGUUAGUGCUAAGUGUUUUCUCAUUUCUGCAACUUGAUGACUUCCUGUACAUCUGCUUAGAUACAGUUAAGAAGGCCUGAUAGGUUUAACUAAAGCGUGCAGGUGAAGUGUAUUGGGGGGGUGAAGUGGCACUUUUUGUCUAUCAAAUAUCUUCCCUAAAACAUAAUCAUUUUCCCCCCUCAAAACAGCGACACUGUUUAAAAGGAGAAAGGUGCCAGAGAGAAAUCAUAUAUGAAUUGCAGUUUGUCUGCAAAAUGAGGAAUGUAUGUUGUUUAAAAUUUCAGUUAGUUAUGGAUUUAGUGAGAUUGGAAUGUAUGAAAACUGGCCACUUUUAUUAGCAAUGGAUAGAUUACCUGUUGCAUUCCUUUUACAAGAAAGAUAGUUGCAGUGCCAUAACACGCUUUUGGGAAAAUACCCACAAAUCAAGCGAUAACAGGAAUUGUAUUAUGACUAGGAAACUUGGGGAAUUUGCCUUUGAUUCUUGUCCCAGCUAUAUGCCGUGAAAAGGGUAGUCCAUUUGGAGCACCAGAUAGCUGCCAUAUGUAUGGGAUGGCUUAUGUUUCUCUUUCUAUGGCGGUAUGUAUCAUAUUUCUUGUUCUGCCUUUAUUACUGUAAACGAAGAUUACAAACGAAAAGAUCAGUGCCAAUAUUUUGGUCAAAAUAAUGCAUCUCCUUUUUGACUUAUUUUAGAGAGCUGAUGAGUCUUGUGACUUCAUUUGUUAGUAGGUUUCGUUGACCAUUUUUUAUGUCAUGACUUAUGAUUUCUUGUUAUCAUGUCUCAGAUAGGAGCCAUUUAUCUGUGGUCUAUUGUUUAUAACAUUGUUCGCGUGUCAUCAACUAAGAGCUAUGAAGUUAUAAAUGUGAAGAAUGAAAGUUCUGAUGAAGAAACCUCAAAAUCCCUUCAAGAGCAGUUAAUUGAUGAGCUUGAUUUAGAAGGCACAUCUGCUAUGGACGAUGCAAAUGUAUCUUUGCUAUCAUGUGCUAAAACUGAUGAGCAAGGAAAGGUCAGCCAAUCCAUGGCAUUUUUGUGUGGAUUAGAAUAUUAGAUAUGUGUUUUCGUCAAUUUUAUAGGGUCCUUUCAAUUUGAUGACUGUCAAGAAUUCAUUGCAGGUUUUCAUCUUGGACAAAAUUAAGAAGCAAAUAUAUUCAUUUUUCAGAAACAUUAAUCUGAAGGCCAUACUUGCACCUUCAACGACUGCAGCGGUAUACCUUUAAGUGUCUGGCAAUUCUUUAUUGAAUCGAAUCAAAUUCUAGUAGAUAGUUUGUAAUCCUCAGUAAUAGCAUCAAAUUCAAAUGAAACAUUGGGUUAUCCUAAUCCUGGGUAUAUUUUUACUAGGGAAGAGAGGGGAAAAAACAUCAGCAGAAAUUAUUUCAGAUAGAAAUAUAAUGCCGCAAAGGGGUUAGCGUUUCUAUCAUAUGAACCCAAAGACUCUUAGACGGUAGCCUGCCACACAUCAAAAACCAUCCUUCAUUAGGAAAUUGAGUACAUUUUGAAAGAAAACCACUCCUUCAAGAAUAUAAACCUUCUAAGGCAAGGCAUUACCAGGUUAUUAGUUCUGAAUUAUUUUCUCAUUUAGUUAUUGAUCAGUGCAGAUUGUUGGCUUCAUCGUCGGAUUAGUGCCCCCCAUACAAAGGUUGAUGAUUGGUGCUAGCGCUCCGCUUCAUGUAGUCCAGGAUUCUGCUUUAUUACUUGGGUAAAACUCCCGCAUCCGAAAACUUUCUUGCAGUUUACAUUGGAAUAUCUUCACAAAUUAUUCUACAACUCUUUCAUGAUUCUGAAAUUUCAUCACUGUGGCCUGUACAGAAGCCAAAAAAAAAAAAAAGAAUCUAAAUUGCUUGUAUUAUCAAGGGUACUUGGUCCUCAUACUCGAUAUUACCUAAACAAGUUUGCUGAACUGCUUUGGCAUCACACAUGGAACAGUAUCUAAUAUUUUGAAAUUCUCCACUUCUAAUGUAUGUUAGUAGUAACUCAUUCAGGUUAUCUUGGAGCUAUAAUUUCUCAUUUUCCCUUGUCGACUUUUAAUUCAAUUGCAGGGAAGCAGCAAUCCCCAUAGUCACACUGAUAGUUGGGGCAAACCUCCUUAGAGGUACCAGUACUACAAAUGUCAAAUCCUUCUGUUUUUUGUUUAUGUUUUGGAGCUAUUGGAGUUUACCUGUGUUGUGAGUACCUUUUAAUCCAACUUGCAUAUUUUACCUUUUAGGUCUAAGAGGAUCAGGAGUCCAGCUUACUGUCAUUCUCGGGAUCAUUGCUAUUCGAUAUGUUUUCCUGCCUCUGAUUGGAGUCUUGGUUAUUAGAGGGGCAAUUCAUCUCGGCUUCGUGCAUGCAGAUCCCUUAUAUCAGUUUGUUCUACUACUACAGUAUGCUCUUCCCCCUGCCAUGAAUAUAGGUACAUUCCUUUUCUCUACCCCAGCAAUUACGUGCUUUUAAGUCUCUGUUUUUUUGAACAUUGAAUUUCAAAUGGUGAUAAAUACUUUUGACAUUUUUGUCACUGGAAGUAAAGUUUUCAUUACUGACAACAUUACCCUGCUGCAGUCCAACUUCUCGAGCUUUUCAGUUCCUUGCACGACCAUAUCUAUUCUACACACUAUAUCCUGUUCAACUAUUCGACAUUUCUUAUGUACAUUUGCUAGUUUGUAUUCUCAGACAGGAAAAAUUUGGAAAGCCCUUCUAACAGAUUCAUCCAUGUAAAUGGGGAUAUCAAUUUUCUCAUUCGGCAGGUACAAUUACACAAUUAUUUGGGUCAGGCCAGUCUGAAUGUUCUGUAAUUCUGCUGUGGACAUACUCAGUUGCAUCAGUUUCUCUAACACUUUGGUCAACCUAUUUCAUGUGGCUAGUAGCCAAAUCUUGAUUUUGCCGUAGCAGCUGCCAGUUUUGCAACAUGUAUUCAUGUUGUUCUCGUUGCUUCAGCUAAUGUAAGAGCGAACAAUAUAAAAUAGUACCAGCUAUCAUUGCAUAAGCUCACUGUCGAUUCAACAUUGUGAAAUAGCUUCCAAUUUCAAAAUUUUCCUCCAACAGCAGAAGGUGUCAUGAAGAGGGUUCUUUUCCAUUGAUACAAAGAUCAAAAUAGCCCAACUGUCCAACUAAGUAGCUGUGCGGAUGUACCUGAAAACCUUGUGGCUUUUGCACUCUCUUUCCCUUUUAAUUAUCCUACUUUUCGAAUUCAGCGUUCAAAAAGGAAACCCUAAAUAUCGCCGUUUUGGAGGUUGAACAAUUGAGCACUCCAAAAGUUUUAAGCACUGACGCCCAAUAAACGAGUUGCUCGGUUCCAAUUUGGAUGCGUGGCCGCUGUAUCAGCAGCAAUGUCAUGCUCAUUCCCAUUUGGAUGCUGUUGCAUGCUGGUAAUCCAUAUUCCGUACUUGUUACCUUGCUAAUGCUAUCUAAGCUUUUCUUUUCUUUGGGAAUAGAUUCUUGGUUUAUAUAUCUAUAUAUUGGUUCUGGUGUUUUUGCCGUAAACAUCUGUUGGGAGCAAAAUUUCAGUGACUAAUCAAAUCUUACAGAAAAUAAACAAGCCAAAUAGGAACAACUUGAGCAGCUAGAUAAGUUGCUUUCUCUUGUUCUUCUUUCAAAAAUCUGCCUUUUUUUUUUAACUUUACAGUAUUACAGAACUCUGUUCAUGAGUUUUUGAUACGUCGGAUUGCUUCAAGUUAUUAUAAUAAGUUAAUCUUUACAGUGCUCCACUUCAAGUUAGAGAAGGGAUGAACAAUUGUAUCUGGCUUUCCAUAAGUAUCGGAUAUCUCUCUGUUGCUUGUGUAACGUUUGCAGCAAGCAACAAGCCCAGUUGGCUACAAAUUUGCUUAUGCCACUAUUUUUUGUCUACCUGUUUUCUUUAUUCUAGGCUGCUGGCAUGCAGUCAACUUUUAGCACAAACUAAUGAUCAUCUACCAAAUGAUAUCUUCAAUUUGAGGAAAAGGUAGAUCAUGGUGCAUUAUCAGGAUUCUUCCGUAACGAUAUUGAUAAGCUGAAGUUUUUAGCUAGCUAACGUUAAUUGUGAUGCUUUAGAUUGUGUGAGAUUUAGUUCAACAUGUCAAGCAGCCGUUAAUGCCCACCAAAAUUUAUGGAUAUCUUGAUUUUACAGUACGAAAUAGGGGAUUUACUUAUCCUGCAGGCAAAGCAGCAUUUAAUUUCUUGGAAAACAAUUAAUAGGACUGAAGAAAUUCUGUCGAGGAAUUAAAUAGAUGCUAUUUCCUAUUUUUCCCCUGUGUACUCUUUUGCUCAAGGAGUUUGAAGUUUUCUAGCAGCUUUCAUAAUGGGGCUGCUAGAUUUAUCCUUGGUUGCUUCCAUACCUGUUGUGAAGGUGCUCUUGAUUUGUGCACUUGGCUCAUUUCUUGCUUUGGAUCAUAUAGACAUCUUGGGAGACAGUGCCAGGAAGGAGCUGAAUAAUGUAAACCUCAACCUUUACUUCCUUCUUCCUUCUUGAAUAUUAGAUCAGUAUCAUUUUCCAAUUUAACACAAUUCCCAUAUUGUAAAAAUAAAUAGAUGGUGUUUUUUGUAUUCAACCCAGCGCUUGUCUCUAGCAAUCUGGCUCAAACAAUUACCUCGGAGAACAUCAUAUCGUUGUGAGUACAAUUCGGAUCACUCAUUUCAGCAUUAAGUUAGAUUUUGCUCUUUGAUGGUAAUAUAUGAUGGAGUUUAAAGGAAAUUUUGUUUUGUUUAAUUCUGAUAUUCAGUGCCUUUCAACUUAGUCUAGAUUUUAACAUUAGAUACAUAUAUUUAGGUGGUUCAUGCCGCUGAACAUCUUGCUGACUUACAUUGUUGGCUCAUUUCUUGGAUGGGAAAUUAACAAAAUCACUAAAUCUCCUCAACAUUUGAAAGGCCUUGUAAUGGGUUUAUGUGCAGCAGGUUAGUGUUUUCUGGGUUCCUGCACAUCUGCCAGGUACAAUUAAAAAGACCUGCUAGACUUGACAAAAGCAUGCAGGUGAAGAGUCUUGGCAUAAACCAUAGAGAGCAAAUUGUAAGCAAAGAAGAUAGUGAAAUUCAGUAGUUCCUCAUACCUCAUUGCUUCCCAGAUGGUUCGGCAUAUCCCGUAAAAAGAAAAUAUAAAUUCAAUUUUGAAAGCAGAAAAUGUGGUUUAAAAUCAACAAGGUACUAGCUAGAGAGAAGUCAUAGAUGAGUUGGAAUCUACUUGCAAAACAGGUAGUUAAUAAAGAAAUAAGAUUAUGCCUAUAUGAAACUACUUAUUUUGAUACUGCCAAAAAAAAAAAAAGCUAAGAGGUUUGUAUUAUGGCUAGGAAACUUGGGGAGUCUGCCUUUUGUUCUCGUCCCAGCAAUAUGCCGUGAAAAGGGUAGUCCAUUUGGAGCACCAGAUAGCUGCCAUAAGUAUGCGAUGGCUUAUGUUUCUCUUUCUAUGGCGGUACGUGGCCCAGAUUUUGGUCUGCCUUUGUUACUUUAAACAAGUACAAAAUUGAUAGGACAAAUUACACUUUAUCUCCCUAUGGCUUAGUAUUUUUAAACCUAUAAUUUCAAAAGCUAUACAUAAGAUGAAAAUGGGAAUAAAAAUACCAUGAGAAGGUUAUGAAAAGUGUAAAAGUAUUGAAAGGAAAGAGGAAAGAGGAAAGAGGAAAAUCCAAAAUUAAAAGAAUUGAAAGGCUAAAAAAAUUGUAUUUUAGGGAAGUGAUUUGAAUAUUUUUUUUAAUCAUUUAAGGAGAAGAUAGAUCUCUGCAAUUCCUCUUUUUUAAUUUCAAUCAUUAAGGUGAAGAUUUUUGGGGAAAGAGGAAGAAUUAAAUAAAGAAGAAAGAGAAAAAGAAAUAAAAGAAAGGAAAACAAGGUAAAUGAAAAGUCAAAAUAAUGCAAGGGCAAUUUUGUCCUAAAGGGGAUUAAGUGAUCAAAAUUAAAGGUUAGGGGGUAAACUAAGAAAUGAGGUAUUCUUUAAGGGGAUAAAAUGUGAUUAACCCUUGAAUUAAAGUGUAAAAGUAACGGAAUUUGCAAUCCAUAAUGAAGUACCCUAAAAUAUCAAAAAUACCCCUAUAUAAAAUUAAAAAUUAUUUACUAACCGGAUGGGAUCACGUGUAUAUUUUGAAAACUAUAAGGAGGGUAUGCAGUAAAGUAUUAAAUCAUAAGGGGAUUUUAUGGUAAAGCAUAAAAUCAUCCGGGGUUAAUGCGUCAUGUAUAUUAUGUUUAUAUAUUUUGGUCAUUUCAGUCAUUUUAAUUUUUAAACAAGAGUAAUUUCGAUGUUUUUAAAAGUUCCGUUACGAAUGAUCAUUUCCGUCACUUUGACACUUUAAUCCAAACGAUGAGGGAGUUAUGUAUAGCUUUUGAAACCAUAGGAGGGUUAUAUACAAAAAAUAGUAAACUAUAGGGGGGUAAUAUGUAAUUUACCCAAAAUGAAAUGAUCAGUAGAUACAUUUUGGUUAGAAUAAUCUAUCUCCUGCUUUACUUAAUUUAGAGAGCCUGAUAAGUCUCGACUUCAUUAAUUAGUUGGUGGCAUUGUCAAUAAAACAAAUUCAUGGUUGUAUCAUUUUCUGUGAUUAUGUCUCAGAUAGGAGCCAUUUAUCUGUGGUCUAUUGUUUACAACACUGUUCGCGUAUCAUCAACUAUGAUCAAUGAAGUUAUAAAUGUGAACAAUGCAAAUUUUGAUGAAGAAACCUCAAAGGCCCUUCAAGAGCAGAUAAACUCUGAGUUUGACUCAGAAUGCACAUCUGCUACGGACCAUGCAAAUGAAUCUUCGCUACCAUGCGCUAAAACUGACAAGCAAGGAAAGGUCACCCAAUCUGUGGCAUUUCAUCGUGGAUUAUAUUCUUAGAUACGUGUUUUUGUGAUUCCAUAAGAAUUAAGAACCUUGUAAUUUGACGCCUUUCAAGAUUCCGUUGCAGGUUUUGAUCCUGGACACAAUUAAGAAGCAAUUAUAUUCGUUUUUCAGAAGCAGUAAUCUGAAGGCCAUUAUUGCACCUUCAACGACUGCAGCGGUACACUUUUCAAGGGCCUGGCAAUUCUUUGUUGAAUCAAUGGCAAAUUAACGCAUAUAUAUAAUUUGAUAGUCCUAAGGAGUAGCAGCGUCAAGUGCAGAAUAAUGUGUUUUGUAAUCCUGUCGUGUGUGUGUGUCAUUUUUACAAGAGAUUUUUUUUAUCAAAGUUUUUACAAGAGAAUGGAGCGGCAAAAUGAUGAGCAGAAAUUGUUCCAGACGGAACUAUCAUGCCCAAAAGGGGUUAGCAUUUCUAUCAGUAUCAACCUGAAAGACUGUUAGCCAGUACUAGCCAGUGACACGUUGAUAACCAUUAUUGUUAGGAAGUCAAGCACAUCUUUAAAGAAAUCCACUCUUUCAAGAACUUGAACCUUUAAAGCAAGGCCAUAAGAAAAUAUCCUUCCUGUUAAAGACUUCAUGUAUGUUCGUUGUUGACCAAUAAGGCAGUAGUGUAAAGUCUGGUGAACCGUAUCAGUCUUGCAUGUUAUGGUUGGGAUUGGAAACACGACGACUGCAAAAUCAAUUUACCAGGACAUCACUACUAAAGUACUCUCUCAUUUAGUUAUUGAUCUCUGCAGAUUGUUGGCUUCAUCAUCGGAUUAGUGCCCCCAGUACAAAAGUUACUCGUUGGCGCCGACGCUCCACUUCAUGUAAUCCAGGAUUCUGCUUUAUUGCUGGGGUAAAAAUCCUUGAUUGGUAACCUUCUAAUGCUGUUUACUUUGGAAUUCUUAUUCCAAAACCCUUUCAUAAUUCUGAAAUUUCAUCACCAAACGGUUAGUACAGAAGAAGAAAAGAUGCAAACCUGCUUGAAUUGUCUAAGGAACUUUGUCGUGAUAAUUAUAGGUAUUAUCCGACCAAGAUUCCUAGACUGAUUGAGCAUAUCAUAUGUGGGACAGUAUCUGAUACUCUGAACUUUUCUGUCUCUAGUUAAUUUUACCAGUGAUUCAUUCAGGUUGUCUUACCCUAUAAUUUCUCAUUUUCCUUUAUCAAUCCUAAAAUUCAGUUGCAGAGAAGCAGCAGUUCCCAUCAUCAUACUGACAGUGGGGGGAAACCUCCUUAAAGGUACCAGUACCAUACGUUAAAUCCUUUUUCUUUUUACUGUCUUGGAGCUAUAUGACUUGACUUUACCUAUGUUACAAAUGCCAAUUCCAUCCAACAUUGCAAAUUUCACCUUUUAGGUCUAAGAGGACCAGGCGUCCAGCUUUCCCUCAUUCUUGGGAUCAUUGCUGUUCGAUCUGUUGUCCUGCCUCUGAUCGGAGUUUUGGUUAUUAAAGGGGCAAUUCAUCUGGGCUUCGUGCAUGCAGAUCCAUUGUAUCAGUUUAUUCUUCUACUACAGUAUGCUCUUCCACCCGCUAUCAAUAUAGGUACAUUCAUUUUUCUCCACCCCGCCCACAACCAAAAGAAAAGAUCAAAACAAAUCAUGUGCACUGGUCUUUAGGUUUUGUGGCUUGCAAAUUGAAAUUGGAGUGGUGAUAAAUACUUUUUGAGGUUAAACGCGCUGCUAAAUCCGUUAAAUCUUUAUCCUCAGUUGCGCUUUAUCACCCUUAAACUCAUUAUAUAGGCAUUUUAUUCCCUUGUUUGAUAUUUUAAGGAAAAAAAAAUCUCCAUUCUAUAUUAAUUAUUUCUGACAUAAUCAAAUUUGUUUAGACAAGUUUCGACGUUUUUGCUGCUGACAACAUUGUCCAGCUGCGAUUCAAAUCUCAUGCAUUUUAGUUCCUUGUACCCUUACAUGCAUUUCCUAGUUUGUAUCUCAGACAGGGCAAAAAAAAAAAGGUGUAAAGCCCUUCUAACAAAUUCACCAAUGUACAGUUCAUAUUUCUCACUUGGCAGGCACAAUUACACAAAUAUUUGGAUCAGGGCAGUCAGAAUGUGCUGUAAUUUUGCUCUGGACAUACUCCGUUUCUUCAGUUACUCUAACACUUUGGUCAACCUUUUUCAUGUGGCUCGUAGCCUAGUUUCUUGAUUUUGCAGUUGCCAAUGAUAUUGCAAGAUGUAGUCGACUAGAAUUGGCUGCAUGAGCUAAUAUAAGACCGAACCAAAUUAACAAAUACUAUCAAAAUAUCAAAUUCGUUUGUUGCACAAGCUCAUUGUGGAUGGCUUUGUCCGCUCUCUGUAUCAGAUCUAUCCCAAUUUUAAUGUUUGACAUGGAUAUUGGACUUCUUUUCCCUUUUUUCUUUUGCUUCUUCUGGCAAGGGGACGUUGAUUCACUCCAAAGCUAACAGGAGAAAUCCACAUAUGGCUUACCAAUGAGAUUGAUAAAAGAAAAAUUGAAGCCAGUCACACCUUAUGGUUAACAAGAAUGCUUAAUUGGCUGGUAUGAGUUGGAAUCUCAACCUGUUGUGGGCUAAAAUUAGGCCUAGCAGAUUGGGAUUAACUAAUUGAUUUCAUCAUUAGUAUUCCACAAUGUGGUAAGAGCAAAUUAAAAACGGAAGAAGUUAAAUAAUUUAUAUGCACAUUUUAAUUUUGGAUCAGUAUUUUUUUUAUAAAGAGCAAAUUUUAUUAAUGAACUAUGAUAGGAUUUACAUCACUAUCAUAAUAAUAUGAUAAACAUGCACUAGUUGGAUUUACAUCACUAUCAUAUCAUAACAUAAUGACAUGCCAAACAUGCACUAGUUUGAUUUGCAUCUAUGUCCUAAUGGCGGGUUAAAUAUGCAUUAGAAAUAACAUAUCUGCAAUUAAUAUAACAGAUACAAUUGAUUUGAAAAUUUUUGAAUAAAUAUAGAAAAUAUAAAAAAAAAAUUAAUUAUUUUUUUAUAAGAUAAAUCGCUGCAGCUCGUUAGCAGAGACUUAAUUAAAAAAAAAUCUAUCGGAUAGAGAAAGACCUUUUGAGAAAAAGAAAAGAAGUAAAUAGAAGUUGGAGAAAAAAGAGGUACAGAAAAAGAAUUGUUGGAUUAGUAUUUCAUAGAUUAAAAAUAAAAACAAUUUUGUACACAACCGGAUAAAUGUCAAAUCUCUCUCUUUUGAUCAUCUAAUUAGAAUUUUGUACACAACUAGAUAAUUUUCAAAUAUCUCUCUUUUGAUCAUCUAAUUUUGUGUUGAAAUCUUCUUCUUCAAUAAAAUAAAAUAAAAAAGAAUUGUGUUGAAAUCUAACGGCCCUCCUUUCCACAAAGAAAGAGAUCCACGGUUCUCUUUCGUCCUCAUUAUAAUUCUUUUAGUAAAAUGAAAACUUUAUCUCAAAAAAAAAAAGAUGAAAAAAAGGAAAAACAAAACAAAACAAAGCUCUCUUCUUCCUCUGAACGCUAACUGCAACUUCAAACUUCCCUGAACAAGCUAUCAUUUUCCACAGAACCCCUAAUCAUCUCAAAGUUCGCCAAAUUAUCUUGAACGUCAUUUCAGCUCAACUGCCCAUUCACAGCAAAAUUGACGGUUAGUCUCUCACUAAUCACUAUGCCCUACUACUCCUUCGUGCCAUCUUGAAUUUCGUUUCUGUUCCAUGUAUGCAGCUUUAUUUGAAGAAUAUGAAAAUUAUUUGUUUGAUUUAUGUACCUGUAGAAUAAUUAUUUGCUACGAGAAAACCAUGGAUUUUGAACCACUAACAGUGGGCAAUGAUGUAACUGAAUUUGACAUGUUGGGACUGGGUAUCGGAAUUGGUUUGGGAGAAGAAACCAUUGAUAUUGCGCAUCCAAUGGAUGAGGAUGAGGAUGAGGAUGAGGAUAAAGAUAGAAACUUUGUGAACCCUUUUCAUAGUAGUAGUGAUGGGGUGAAUUUCAGUGGCAAUGGCGGUAAUUCUGGAGAAAUUUGUGUUCUUGGUGGAGAUACGAAUCUUGAACCCUAUGAGGGAAUGGAAUUUGAGUCUGAGGAAGCUGCAAAAGCGUUUUAUAAUUCGUAUGCACGUAGGAUAGGUUUUAGUACUCGUGUAAGUAUGUCCAGGAAGUCUAGGCGUGAUGGUGCUAUUAUACAAAGGUCGUUUGUUUGUGCGAAAGAAGGGUUUCGUAUAGAGAAGGAGAAGUCUGGGUGUAACGGUGGUAGGGCUAAGCGGCCUCGGGCUGAGACUAGGGUAGGGUGUAAGGCGAUGUUGGUGGUUAAGAUUCAAGAUUCGGGAAGUUGGGUCGUGUCUAGUUUUGUGAAAGGGCAUAACCAUGAGCUUGUUCCGCCUGAUAAGGUGCAUUGUCUACGUUCACACAGGCAUGUUUCUGGGGCUGCCAAGUCAUUGAUCGAUACCUUGCAAGGGGCUGGUAUUGGCCCCAGUGGGAUAAUGUCAGCUUUGAUAAAGGAGUAUGGAGGAAUUAGUAAUGUUGGGUUUACGGAGCGUGAUUGUAGGAAUUAUAUGAGAAGUAGUAAACAGAGGACUCUUGGGGGUGAUACUCAGGUUCUCUUGGAUUAUUUUAAACUGAAGCACUUGGAGAAUCCUGCUUUUUUUUAUGCAGUGCAGGGAGAUGAGGAUCAGUGCAUGAGCAAUAUCUUUUGGGCUGAUCCUAAGGCUCUGUGUAAUUAUACUUAUUUUGGGGAUACUGUUACAUUUGAUUCAACUUAUAGGUCCAACAGGUAUAGGUUGCCUUUUGCCCCAUUUACAGGGGUGAAUCAUCAUGGACAGCCUGUUUUGUUUGGAUGUGCCCUUCUCAUAAAUGAGUCUGAGGCAUCAUUUGUUUGGUUGUUUAAAACUUGGCUCGCUGCAAUGUCUGGUAAGCUGCCCAUCUCAAUCACGACUCAUCAUGAUCGAGUGAUUCGUUCAGCUGUCACCCAAGUUUUUCCUGAGGUACGUCACAGAUUCUGCAAGUGGCACAUUUUCAAGGAAUGUCAGGAAAAGUUAUCUCCCAUGCUUUCUGAACAUCCAACUUUUGAGGCAGAGCUUCAUAAAUGUGUCAACUUUACUGAUUCUAUUGAAGAAUUUGAAUCUUGUUGGUGUAACCUUAUUGAUGGAUAUGCUCUUCGGGAAAAUGAAUGGCUUCAAAAUGUUUAUGCUGAUCGCAAGCAGUGGGUUCCUGUGUACUUGAGGGAUACUUUUUUUGCUGAACUGUCUAUUACACAGCGCAGUGACAGCAUGAACUCCUACUUUGACGGAUAUGUAAAUGCUUCAACAACAGUUCAAUUAUUUAUAAAACAGUAUGAGAAGGCUCUGGAGAGUCGCCACGAGAAAGAGGUUAAAGCGGAUUAUGAUACCAUGAACGCUGCACCCAUUCUAAAGACGCCAUCACCAAUGGAGAAACAAGCAGCUGAUAUUUAUACUAGGAAACUAUUUAUUAAGUUUCAAGAAGAAUUGGUAGAAACACUUACCUUCUUGGCUACAAAAAUUGAGGAUCAGGAGGAAGCCACCACGUAUCAAGUUGCCAAAUUUGGGGAAAGUCAUAAAGUUCACUUCGUCAGAUAUAGUGUCAGAGAAACGAAAGCAACCUGUAGCUGUCAGAUGUUUGAGUUCUCUGGUCUACUUUGCAGACAUAUAUUAACAUUCUUUAGGGUUGCAAAUGUUCUGACUCUUCCACCUCUUUAUGUUUUAAGAAGAUGGACAAAAAGUGCGAGAAGCAGUCUAAUGUUGGAGGACGCAACCAAUGAUCUGUCAAAUGGCUCUCGAGAAUCUCUUACUGCCAGAUAUAACAAACUUCGUCAUGAGGUUUUCAAAUAUGUGGAUGAAGGUAUGCAGACUGAGGAAACUUAUAAUGCGGCAAUGGAUGCCUUGCGAGAGGCUGCAAAUAAAGUUUCCAUGGCUAGAAAGACGGCAAGAACAAGUUCAGAUUCCAAUAGAACCCGCAAGCAGGAUCAUUCUACACUUGAACAUGAUGAAAGUAACAUUGAUGGUGUUCAUCCAUUGGAUUCGGUGAGUUUUUUUAUUCUUUUCAUUCUGAUGAAACUUUUCAUGGAAAAGGUUUUCAGUUGCAUGUCUUAUUCUUGCUAUUAAUUUUUUAUUUAAUUUAGUGUUCCCUUGCAUGUCUUGUAUUUCCCAUAGAGGAAUGACUCCUAUAUUGAGGAAGCAUUUCAGAUUGUUGGCAGUUUUUCCAUACAGCACAUUGGUGCUCCUGUUGUCAUGAAUCGUUAAGAAGACACAAUACAGCCUCUUUGAGUCGGUCUACAACAGUUUUUCCAUAAAAACUCUUUCCUUUUUUUUUUCUUUCCUGCAUGCCCCAUUGAGUCGGUCUACAUACAGCCUUUUAUUUGAUUAGUGGUCAGUUUGCUAUACAGCCUUCUAAAAUACCAUGCUCUUUUAUGAGAAUCUUUUUGUACACAUACAAGGUGAAAUAGUAAAUUAGUGUGGCUGAUCAUUUAUUGGAGAAUAUUCGUGUAAUCUUUUUCGUUUUCUUUUUUCCUUUUUAAAUGCCUGCAGUAAAUACAAUAGUUUAUGUGCCAGUCAUGUUGAGAAAAUGUCAUGCUUGAUAAUUUAAUGUGCGAAUUAGCAGAGAGAAAGAGAAAAACGGAGAAACUUAUCUGAUCAUAGGAAAAGUGGAGAAACUUGUCUCUUUUUUUUUUUUUUUUAAAAUUCUGGACUAAUUUCAUCAAAAAUUUACCUUUUUGGUUUAGGAUGAGCAGGACAAGAAGAUACAGAAACUCACACGGCAGCUUAAGCGUGCUCAACGGAAAUGUGAAGCAUACCGGGCUAAUUUAUUUUCAGUUCUGAAAGAUAUUGAGCAGCAAAAGUUGCAACUGUCUGUAAAAGUUCAGAACAUUAAGUUAGACAUGAAAGAUUAGAAAUAAAGUAACUCUCUUUCUGUUUACAUGCUGAAUGGUAGAGAAUAUGCAGCAGAAGUCAUUCACUGUAGACAUGGAAUUCUUGCACUGGAAGUGGUACGCAAUCUUGGGGUCAUAAUUAAAUACAAUUACCAAAGUUGUGUGUAUCUAAGACUGUUCAGAGUUGAUUUUGAUGUCCUUUAACCUGGUAUCAUGCAGAAUUAUCAGAAUGAGCUAGCAAGAUUUUUCAUUUCUAUUCCACUUAUUUUCUCUCACAGUUGACCUGAAUCUUAUGGGGAUUAACGUGAAUACAAGAGCAGCAGUAGGAUGAAACUUUUUUGUAGGUUAUAGUAGUUAUAUUGCCAUAACUUCUAUGGCUUCAAGGUUUUGUAAUGAUCAUGAAGUCAUUUAAGAUGGAGAAUCUCAAUAGAGGUUCAAGACCAACAUGGGCUUAUUCUUGUGAGACGCAAAGAUUUGAGAAAGUCGGUAGUUAGCUCCACUGGGUCUAAGAUAUGUGGCCAAUCCUGUGUUUGAGAUUCAACUAAAGGUGGUCUUUUUCUUUCGCUUUUGGCUGCCACAAAAUGUUUCUUUGAAACUCUACAAAAAUUUGACUCGUGCACCGAAAGCUUGUACAUAUUUCAUCAACUGCUCGUGACCUUGUAGAGUGUUGGACAUUUGGCACAAUUUUUACGAUUUAACAACUAAGCUAAUUCUUUAAAAUUCACUUUGCUGAAUGAAAAUGAGAUUCUUCAAAUUCUCAGACUGUUAUGUCCAAGUCUUGAAAAUUAAGAACGCAUACUUGAAACGAAAAUCAAGCUAAUGCAAACUGAAACUGCAGCAGCAACCUAAGAUCAGCAGCCCGGAUGGUGCUAGCUGGCGGGUAGUUCCUCUUUGUUUGUGCAGGCAACGCUUGCGUCUACGCUCGGCACAAACUUGCACUUCUGCGGGCAAUACUUGGAAUUUGUUGCAAUUCUUGCGAUGAGAGAAAGUAUCAGCUAAAAAAUUCGCAAUUGAAGAUCAGCAUAACCAACCCUUUCCUUGUGCCUUUCAAAGAGAUCUUGUAGUGCAGCAACAAAUUGCCCAUGCACUUCAUCAACCUUCAUCGAAUUUAAUUGACAAGCAGAAAAAGGAAAAUAGAAAAAAGAUUGAAAGUUAUUUCCAAUGACUUGGCAGCCAAAUAGUUUCCUACAGAAAGAAAUUAGAAUCGAUUGGAAAACUAAAUCCAUUUUUCCCUUUUAACAAAUGCAACUUCGGCAAAAUACUAGAAGCAUUUUGAGAGGUGCCUAGUCACCUGGGCAAGUGUUUACCUUGCAUGUCAAUGACAAAAAAUCCUCAAGGCAUAAUUUAACCGUCCUUUCUGAAUUUGAACGCCGAUUGAAUUUACAAAGUAUAAGGGAUUAUUACAUGAUUAAUAUAUACUAGUCUUACACUAAUCAAUAAGGAGGAAAGUCUUAUCCGUAGACAUAAACGAGUUGAAUUCAAUGGGAGAAACACAUUGAUAUAUGAUUCGCUAAGAUGGUGUUUAAGAAGGAUACCUCUUUCACGGUGGGUUGUGGAUUUUGUUGGAGGACAAUAGGUUUUCCAACCACAACAUGCAUUGGACGCCUAAAAGGUAUAGGAGACCUGCAAGAGGUCAAGCAACUCCAUAACCAGCCGUAUCAUAGAAGGAGAACAAAAAAAUGAAGCUUAGUUUUCUUCAGCAGAAGCUGAAUGAUACUUUGUAGCAGAUACAAGAAGCCAGACAUCCAGAGGUCCUGGCAACUAUGCUGUUGCUGAUAACCUUGUUAUUGAACCGGGUUGUUGCGAAAACACAUAGACGUCAUCAUUAUGAUACCAUUUUAACACAUGAAAACUUGAGAAGGAAAAGUUGAUAAUGCAUUAGAGCACCGUUUUGCUCUUGCAAUUUCAUUGAAAUUAACUUACCCAAGUGUGCCCCAGAAAAUAACUGGCAUAAACUUGAUAGCUCUCGAGAACUGCAAGAACCAUUUUCCCUUGGGCUUCCACCACUUGUACGCUUCUGACUGCUCAAGAAAUGGCCCAUGAAAACAUAAAUUCAAGGUUUGUAGUGUAGAACACAAAUUAAUUCAACAUCCUCAAACGAUUGCUUGCUACUUUCCCUUAAAAUGGGAAAAAAGGAACAGAACAAGUUUUCUUGCUACCCGAUCCUAUGUGCUCAUUUUCCACGAAUAAAUACCUGGCCAAAGCAAAAAACCGGGACCAGCGGUUUGCCCGUCUCCAUAGCAACCCGUACAAAUCCUUUCCUUUUUUUGAGGAAGACAUUCUACAAGUGUUUUCAGCAAUUAACCAGCUGUUAGCGAAGUCAUUGGCGUGAAAACAAGAGGAAAAGGAUGCAAAUACAGUUCUUUCCGAUACAAUAAUCUCGGUAUAUAAGCAUGGGAAAUGGUGAAUUUGGCCUUCUAUCAUCUCACACUAAAUCAGAAACACAUAUUGACAAUGUGAUUGUAAACCAUCAUGUUUUUUAAGUAAAAGAACAAGGUGAAAAAGUUGAACCUCUGAACCAGGCUCCAUAUAGUACGUUUCUUGAGUUCCUCCUGGCACUAUGAUGCAGCUAUAGCCAGAUUCCAAAAGGGUAAGAAAAUUUUUCUUGGUUGCCGGUUUAAUUCCCAACCAUGUGGCUAUAUGUCGCAAGAACGGUGCAUAAAAAACCUGAAAAGUGCAUUAACAGGAAAAGUCAAGCUUUAAAAAUCUCAUCAUAACCGUCAAUUUGUCAUCUUAAAGAGUAUAGAUACAAAAUUCUACAAGGGCAUAGAUCAUACAGCACUAGUUCCGAGGAUUUUGGUCUUUGGGAGUGGCAUGAAUCCUGUAAGGUUGGAAAGUGCAAUUUCCCCAAUUGGCACAAGUGAAUGUGGCUCGUACCCGAAAACUGCAAACGCAAAAGAUCUAGUUCAUCAUCUUAUGCUAGGAAGACAGGAAAGGUAGAGGGUGCCACGGUAAUUGGCCGAUCAUUUCCAAGCACGAAAGCUACCCAAAUAAUUUUGCAUCCAACUAGGAGAUUUAACUAAAAUCAAUAAGAAGUUUACCGUAAGCUUGUUUAGGAUCGAAGGCUUUAUAGUCCUCCACAUACAGAUUAACUGGAAAGUAACCACAAGCAUGCUUACAUAUAUACCUGAAGAUGUCACCACGUAAACAUGAAAUCUCGUAUCAAUAUGGAUAACAAAAGUAGUACACAACAUAAUACAGAAAAAUUCAUGUCCAAUUGGAACCUGUAUUAAAUUAAAUGUGCUUUUUAAUCACUUUUUUUUAUCUCAUAGUCAUAAAAUAUGUAAGUAGUUUAACAACUCAAUCCAAAAGAGAGAAUAAUAUAUAAGUAGUUUAAUCAACCUUGAUAAGUUCCGUCCCCAUUUGCUUCCUUCGCAAGUUGGAAGCACCGUAAACAAAAUCAGCAACGCUAUGACCCUGGAGAGAGAGAGAAAGCAAAAAAAAAGAGAGAGAGUUCAUAUGUUCCUACAUUUAGAGGAUAUAUAAAAAAUGAAGAGAGAAAAGGAAACGAACACCAAAGCUUUGGAGGGAGGAAGAAUUAUGAAGGAAGCCAAGACGAUGAGGCCGAUAAGAUGAGCGCAACCAAGCACAAGCAUAAGGGCGAAAACGGCGUGAAGUAUGGAGCCCGGAGCUCCCCUGAACUCCGCCGCAUGAGUUGGCUCAGUCGCAGUCCCCGGGGCUGGCCGUCGGCGACUCAAUUCUCCAUCGUCCUUCUUCUCCAUAUACCCGGCAAAUGAUUAAAUAUGUUGUGGUAAGACUAAAACUAGAAAUUUAUCAUUUGCAUGUUGCCUCAGACUCAGAUAUAUAAACACUAUUGGGUAUAAGACACAAACGUCAAGCACGAGCAUGUGCGCCAUUAAUGGUGCACAGGAAGGUGGUUGAGCCACUUGAUAGUAAAUGCGACCGGUUACCCAGAGAGUCUGCUCUGCUGCUUGGUUUGGGUUUCAAGGCCAAGAAAGAACACUUGGGAUCCUCACGGGUAGUAAAAUUAUGCUUUCAGUUUUGGUCUAUCACAAAAUUACUACUGUCACCUAUUUAUAAUCCAUCUAUAGGGAAAAAAAAAAAAAAAAAAACUUGCGUCUUUUCCUAUUUUGGGAUAGUUUCAGAUUCUAUCAUCCUCACGGGUUGUAGCCAGGCGCAUGAUUUCAGAACCAUUGAUCGCAUACAAUUUUUUGUACUCCCAAGAAUUGAUUCGUCCUCAUUUCAAAAAAAAAAAAAGAAUUGAUUCGUCCUUGUCCAUGUAUUUGCAUAUACAAUAACCACAUAUUUUAUGUUUUGAUGGAUCUUUCAAGUCAAAUAAUACUACACCAUUUGAUGGAUCCGAGCCUCUGUGCAAGCAAGGUGAAGAAGCUGCAGUGUAACUAUGUAAUAAUAGGUCAGACUGGAUUGAACUAUAACAUUAACAGGUCAAUCUGACGUUAGUCAAAUUAGUCAAAUUAAACUAAACGGAUAUGGUUCGAUAGGAAUUAUGAUUGAACCAUUAAUUGCGUUGCGCUGUUACACCCACCAAACCGUACGUACGUGACCCUCAAUCCCCAUCCCCUUUGAUGGCGUUUUGACAAUUUCAGAUAGCUCCCCUCAAGUUUAUUAAAUUACAACUACUCCUUUGCUUUUACUAUUUAUAUAAUAAUUAUAAGCUCAAAAAACUAUCAUUUUUUUUCAAAAAUCCUAAACUACCCUUUUUAUACAAAAAUAAAACAAAAAAUAUUUUGCUAAUUGCUUGCUUCCAUAUUUCAACCAAAUCUGCUAUACUAAUAAACUAGCCUAAAAAAUAGUCUUAUUUCAAAUUUUAAACUCAAGUAAUUCUAUCAUCAUAGUCAUAAAAUUGCUUCUUCCAAAGCAUGCAUUCAAUUCUAAAUAUUCGUUUCAUCCUUAGAAAUAUUAUCAUCAGAUAGUUUCAUGGAAUGGUCAAAUUCACAAUCACUGCCCUUAUAUUUCUAUAAUUUUCAACAUAGGACACGCUCCAUAUAAGUUGCUCAACUUCUACUACAUGAGCCACAUUAUGGCCUUGAAGAAAAUCCUUUGGAGAGAUUUAGGCAUGCAUGAGAUUAAUCAAGUUUAAGAGAAGGAAGGCAUCAUUAUGACUAUAGGGAUUUUCAAGAAAUUCAUUUUGCCAAAAAUCAAGACUCUAUUUAUAACUAAUCACACCCCAAAUUUCAAAAUCCAAUGCUCACACCUUCUCAAAACAAAAUAAUCUAGUCUACUAUCAAAUCUCCAAACAUGUUAACAUCUUAAAUUCAGAGAAGAAACUCUAUCUCCAUGGCGAAACCACAACCAACAAUUGUCAAGUAUUAAAAAAAUAUAAAUGUACUUAUUAACAUCUUAAAAAAAAUUUUGGAUGGAUGAUAAACAAAUUAGUAAAUUUACCAAUUUCGUCCAUCUUCCUCUUUUGGCCAAUAAUUGCAUUAUUUGUUCCAUUAUUAUUUUAUGACUCUUCAUCUCUUUUUAGUUUGAUCAUGAAAUCUGAAUUUUACUUCAACCAUCAAAUCUAAUCCUUUAACUAAAUUUGUGAUUUGACAAUUCUAAAGAGAAGAAAGAAGGAAUAGGAAAAUAUAGUAAAGUUUGAGGGAUCACUUGUGAUGUAGUUAGCUGUAGUUAGAGGCAAUGAUUGAUGGUAAUUUGAAAGCGAAUUCUAGGAGGGAGGGGUUGAUAGAUGAGAACGGAGUGAUAAUAAGUAAGAGAAAAAUCGUCAUUAGUUGUAACGUGUAAAUAGAAUGGUCGAAAAAGUCAAAUUUCUUUAUUUUUAAUCUCAUUUCAUUACACUGUGAAUUAUUUAUUAAGUGAAGGUCAUUAUAGUCAUUUUAUUGUGAUAAGGGAGGUCAGUAUAAUUUAUAAAAUCUAAGGAGAGCCGAGUGAAAUUGUCAUAAAUCUCAAGGGAGGUUUGUGAAAUUAUCCCUAGUCUUUAAGAAGAAGAAGAAGAACAAGGGGGAUAAAAUAACCCCCUCUCGCCAAAAAAAAAAAGGGAAAAAAAGGGAACCUUGUACGGUAACUUCACCAAAGUACUCGAUACAACUUUUACGUAUGCUGAUUGAUGCAACUCCAAACUACUACACAUAUAAGAAUUGAGUACGGAGCCUAAACAGGGGCGACACUGGAAAUUAGAGCACAAUCACCCCGCAUCUUUCCAUUAUUCUGGAUGCUGCAUGCAGCGACUGUUUUGAGUCCCAUAAGUAACGCAGCCAUUGGAUGAUUCCGGCCGAGGCAUUUCUCCAUUUUGACCUGUCACCAACAGUUGCUGCAGAAUCGAACAAAUUUGACAAGUUCAGAGAGUUACCCAUGGUAUGGUAACUUUUGUCUCAAUUAACUCGAGAAUUUAUGAAAGUCUUGGUCCUCAAAUGACAAGAUUUUUGUAAUCUUUGUAGAUGUUGUAUGCUUCAUCGUCCUCAGCUGGACUGAACGGACUAAUGAAGAAGUCUGCUCAUCUACUCUGUGAGCCGCAUUAACGAGUCUCUCAUACAGCUCGACGCGAUAAAACCACCAAAGCAGAAAUAUCUUGAUGAAUUUUAGGUCCAAAGGGAGGAACUCAACUCAAGUUUACCUUUUUUUGUGAAACAUUUACUAGUCCAAAAAUUUAUGACCCCCUCGUUUCCAUAAUUGUGGAUACCCUGAAAGAUUUUCUUGUUGCACAUGUCUAGGGAGGAGCAGACACUACUAUUUUCCGGCUUAAUUGUACUACAUGUACACGGUUAGUUUACCAUCAAAUGGCAUGAGUCCUUGACUUGUGGUAAAAGGGCUGUGCAUAACGAACCUUAAAUCUAUAUAUAAGAAUCGGGAUCCAAAUCACAAGAUACAAUCAAUGUACAACCCUCUGAAGGCAACAAGAAGAUAUCCAAGACACUUUCAUGUCAACCCAUUAAAAAGGAAAAAAAAAAAAAAGAAGCUCAUGUCAACUUCUACCGUUUUUAACUCUGAAAAUAGUACAGCGAGGCAUACAGUACAUAUUAUUCAAACAGACAGAAAGAACAAUAGCAGGUCACUGAUAUGUAUAUGCGUGUCCGUGUAUGUAUUUCCCUUUUGGGCACCAGUUCAUUGAUUAGAUAACUUCAAAAUAUAUUCUGUACAUCAGUUCCAGUACAAGGCUUACAUGCAUUUUUAAUGCUUCUGGUAAACCUAUCAGCGAUAUCUGGUUUUCUUUGCGCAUUUCCAAGGAAAAGAGCAUUCAAAGAUCAGAGAUGAGAUGUCUGGAGAGGCUCCUGGGUCCUUAACUGGAGUUUCUUUCUCCCUAUCUUUCAAUUUCUUAAGCGUAUAUUGGAUUCUUCAAACGCACCUGGAAGUAAUGCACACCGAACACAGGGAUAGCAAUCUCUAUAUCCCUGAAGUGCAUGGAUACAAGGUUUUCCUCAAAGAAUUUGCAACUGAAGAUCAGCAUAACCAACCCUUUCUUUAUGCCUCUCAAAGAGAUCUCUAAGUGCUUCAACAAACUGGCCAUGUACUGCCGCAACCUUUUAUUCGAUUUAAUUGAAAUAGAAAAAGAACUCAGUUAGAUCCCUGGAAUCCUUUGCCCAUUUGGCUCAGAAAACUAGCAAAACACAAACAUCUGUGCUUCACCUAAAAUCUCCCUAAAGCAAUGCAGACCUGUAACUAUAGUCUCUUGUUGGUGCAGUAAUGUACCAAUAUAUUGCAUAAAUAAAAGAACAGUCAUAUUGUUAGAAAGGUGCCAGAAAUGAAUUUCACUCAGAUAAUUCCACCAGAAGAGAUGAACUGGCAAUACACAUACAAGUGUACAUAAUCUGUAGGCCUCUUCAAGCACCACAGGCUGAAAAGUAAGUUCCUAUAAUAGUUUCCAAUGGAAAAUAAAGUGUUAAAUCCAUUAAUUUCUAACAAUGAAAGAUAGACGAUAGCUCUCUAUGAUCCGCACCCCAUUCAUUGGAUUUCCCUUACAUCGACAUAAUUUCAGUUGCCACAAAAUAGUUUAAUUUCAUGUAUAAAAAACCAAGGUUCUGGAAGUACCUCUUCCGCAGUAGGUUGUCGAUUUUUCUUGACUUCAAUUGGUUUUCCAACAACAACAUGCAAUGGAUGCCUCAAGGGCAUAGGAGACCUGCAAGAGAUUACUAUAUGCUUAACUCCAAGUGAAGUGACAUUCAAUAAAGGAAACUAUCCAAGAACUACACUUUUUGGAAAUAAAAGAUCAUCUGCAUAUCACUUCCCCAAUGAAGAACUCUAUUAUUUUAGUUUAGAAUUUAUCCGGCUUCAUCAUGCUACUUCAGAUGCUCUCAUUAAACAACAACAGACCACUAAUUUAGUCCAAGUAAAAUUAACCAUGCACAAGACAUGGCUAAAAGUAAUUUGGAUUGACAUACCCAAGGACACCCCAGAAAACAAUAGGGGUGAAUUUUAUAGCUCUAGAAAAUUCCAAGAACAACUUGCCACUGGGCUUCAACCACCUGUAGACCUCUCUCUGCAUCAAAAUGAGAAUCAAGAAGAGAAGUACAUAAAUCAUUCAGUGGCAAGAUGCAAAAGCAAAGCUUUACUAUUGACAAUAGCCCUCGUGAUAUUGUGAGUGAAGGCUCCAAUUCUUAGCAAUAUAGCACAAGGGAAACUCAAAUAUGGACAUGUUUAUGCUCUAGCAGCAUAAUUUUUUUAGGGCAAAACACGGGAAACCAAUAAUAUAUAAUGGCCCCAUUCAAAGCCAAAGGUAUUCUGCUACGUAUGUGUAGUGCAAUACACAAACCUUAGACAUUAGAGAGGGUGUGUUAUCAUUUUUUUUCAAGCUCUUCGACAUAGGACAUGGUGCCAAAUUUCCAAGAUCUUUUAGAUAUCAGAUGUUAUGAACAGGAGAGAUACAUACAUACAUACAUAUAUAUACAUAUAUAUAUAUAUAUAUAUAGAGAGAGAGAGAGAGAGAGCAACAAGUACCUGCCCAAAGCAAAAAACUGGAACUAAAGGUUUGCCCGACUCCAUAGCUAUCCGUACAAAUCCUCUCCUUGACUUAAUAAAGGCAAUCUACAAUGACAAGCUACACAAUGAACACCAGCUAAGGGAAUUACAGGCAUGACAGGAAGAAAAAUAGAGGGGAUUUUCUAGUCACAAGAGUAUAUGCGGAAGUAGGAUACGAUAAAACUUUGGGCAAUUCCAACAUCCCCUCACACAUUUCUAGUUUGUUUUCUAAACUACACGGACAAAGUUUCUUCCUUUCUCCCAUCUCUUUUAGAAAACUCAACCAUAACACUAAGAGAACUCAAAAGACGAAAGGAUGCACAGAUGAGCAGGAAAAUUAUGUGGAUAAAUUGCCUACCAAUCUCAAUCUUCUUGUCCGAAGAUAGAGAUAACAUGUUUUGUAAUACAAUUUGGUGAUCAAUGCAGAAUAGUCUAUGUUUAUCUGGAAAGUCCUAUUUUGUGCUUUUCAAAGAUGAAUAAUGGAUAUGUGCACCAAAUACUAUGUGAACAUCAUGGUUUGACGUAUACUUCAAUAAAGUGGAUCUUUCACAGCAUUACAAUCCUCUCAAUAGCUAUCCACAUAAAAAAGUGUAACAGAGUUGUAUAAUGUUUAUAACUAUAUCAGAUUUGCAAAGCUUGGUAGCUAAAAAUCAUAUAUAUAUAUAUGCAGAACAAAUGAUGAACUUUGACUCAAAAAUCCAAGUACAACAUUAAACCUCUGAACCAUGCUCCAUGUGGAAUGCCUCUUGAACUCCACCUGGCACUAUGAUGCAGCUAUAGCCAGAUGCCAAAAGGGAAAGAAAGUUUCUCCUCGUUGCUGGCGCAAGUCCCAACCAUGUCCAUAUAUGCCUCAGGAAUGGUGUAUAGAAAACCUGGUCCAAUUUUUUCAUAACUCACACGAGUCAUUUCCUACAACGACUAUAUAACUAAGUUCACAUGAAUAAUAGGCCUAAGGGUCUUACAGCAGUACUUGCAAGAACCUUGAUCUUGGGGAGAGGCAUAAAACCUGUAAGGUCGGCAAGUGCAACAACCCCAAUUGGCCAAACAGAAUGCGGCUCAUAGCCAAAAACUGUACAGAAGAACUUCUACUUUUAUAUCAUUUUCAUGGAAAGUGCUGGGAGAGGGGAUAUUUCCCAACAAAACAUGCUUCAAUAAAUGCAUGAGGCUGGGAAGAUUUGCAGUGGAAAAGGGGAUCAAGCGAGAUAAAGAAAGAAAGCUAGUGAAAUUUGUCUGCCUCGAUACCUUAAUAGUCAUUCUCAGAAACUUGGACCCUCAUUGGGUUCAUAACUAAUGUCUUCCUCUAGCUAAAAUGCAGUAAAUCAUUAACGGAUGGAAAUUUCUUGAUUUAUAAAGAUCAAAUGUAAAAGUUCUUUUGAAUGAUUAGAGCAUUCCUUAUAAAUCAAGUCAUGAUCUGUACUAUCUAGAAUUGGGUUUCGUCGAAAACUAUCAUGGUUUGGUCAAGACUCCUUUACUAAAGACAAGUGUCAUUAGCUUUUUCGACUACCCUUCUAGUAAAUGUUCCAGAAGAUACGGUACUAUUUACCACCACCCCAUCAAUUAUGAUGAUCUUUACAGCGAGCCUGAAAAAAGUUGAUCUUGACUUGAAAGGGAAGGCAAAUACCGUAAGCCUGAUUAGGAUCAAAGGCUUUAUAGUCCUCCACAUACAAACAAACGGGAAAGUAACCGCAAGCAUGCUUACAUAUAUACCUGAAAAUUUACCAAACAAAAAAAAACGCCACCAAUUAAAUGAACUCCCAAGUUUGUCUGUCAUUAUCUGAAAUAAAACAAAAUUUUUAAAGAUUAACCUAGCUAAUUUUCGUCCCCAGUUGCUCCUCUCAUCAAUAGGAAGCACCAUAAAUAUCACCAGCAAUCCAAUUACCCUGAAAAUUUUUUUUAUUACGACAACAAUUUCAAACACUUCACAAAGAAUAUAUAUUAGACACACACACAGAGAGAACAGAGAGAGCGAGAGAAAAAGACUGACGCGAGGGCUUUGGAGAAUGGAAGGAAGAUGAAGGAGGCGAAGACGAUAAGGGCAUUGAAGUGAACCGAGCCAAGCCAAAAUAUCAGCGCCAGGACCGUAUGAAAUAAUGAGCCUCGAGUUCCCUUGAACUCCAGCGCCGUCGACUGCUCCGGCGGUUGCUUGUGAGCUAACAAUUCUCCAUUCAUCUCCGUCGUCGCCAUAUGCUGAUGAUCUUGAGACCGAGAAGUAGAACCAGGACUUCGUUAUUAUUUAUGCAGAGCCAGAAACAAAAGAGCCAACAGAAAAUGAGAAGAGUGCCGUCAAGUUAAGAGAUGACAAAGUUGGUGUCUGGUGCCUCACUUGGGUGCCUUCCACCAUUUGGAAAUUUUGUGACUUGUAUGCUUACUUUCGCUUACGUCUCUUAUAUAUACGUCACUACCAAACUAUAUUUUAAAAAAAAUUGAAACUUAUUAGUACUAGUUUGUAAAGAAAUAUUUCAAAUAAUGUUAAAAUUUGCAUUGAUCGAAGAAUUAAUACUACACAAAAGAGGAAAAAAAAAAAAAGAAAACUUGAAAAAUGAAGACUACUCUUUUUUCUUUCCUUUUAUUUUUUUAUUUUUAUUUUUAAUUUUGGGCCUUGAGAAUGAAUGAGACAUGGGGUGAUGGCGAUGCAAAAUGGAUGAUUCUAGUAGUGUAAUUUUACCCGUCGAGCCAACUCUCAUUGACUUUUUUUUUUUUUUUUUGGGGUCCUAAAUCACUAGCUAUCGAAAUGUUUUCCUCGGCCUAAAUCAAAUAAUCAUCGGGAGCCCGAUCCUCAUGUUUCUCAUUUUAUUAGCACUUGAACAGAGGUUUCUCAUUUUAGUACUUGAACAAGUUUUAAUUAAUCACCGCCGCAAGUCCCAAACAGAAAUGCAAAAAAUAAAAUUUGAGGUUUCGUCAUGAAGGUUUUGAAAAUGUUAAUAGUCAGUGGUAAAACAGCUUUAGAAGCUUUAGUUGAACUAAUUCACUCUUCAAUGGCUUGCUUACAAAGUUUAAGAGUCAAUUAAUAUUUUUCAUUUCUUUCCCUUUGCUGCUUGCUUUUCUUUCUCUUUUUUGUUACUUACAAAGUUGGAGUUAGUAUUUGCUUGUAUCAGAGUUACUAGUAUUUUUCAUUUCUUUCUCUUUGUUGCUUACAAAGUUUUUUUUUUUUUUUUUUAUGUUUUGUUGCUUACAAAGUUGGAGUUAGUAUUUACUUGCAUCAUAAACGCAUUUUUAAUCAAAUUUUUUUAUUAUAUUUUUAUCUUAUAUACAUCACAUCAUAAUCUAUACUACAGUAAUUAUUUCAAAAAAUUUGCUAUCCAAACACACGCUUUGAUUGUUAGCUACUGUUAUGCGGUCAUAAUUGUGAUGAUCCACCUAACACAAGGUGGCACUAAUCGUCUUUAUUAAAAGCAAGAUAACAACGUUCGAUGGUCCAUAAAACCGUAAUAAAAGUUGUAUUUAUUUGGAGUUAGUUGACAGUUGAGACUCAUUGUUAAACAUUAGCUGUCCGUUGUCUAUGGAUCUGAUUCUAUUGCCUUGAUCAAAGAGAAGGAUGCUUAUCAGAGUAACAGUACUCAGCAGAAGCAAAGCUCCAAAUUUCAGUCCAUUGAUAAUUAACGAUCGAAGAUGGACUGGUGUUUCUCCCAGAUUGUUCUCCAGGACAUGAAUCUUCUUUUAGCAUCCCAGAAAUCUUUUGUAACCUUUCUCACUCUGUCUUGGGCCAUUCUUGUGACCUUUCUUCUCUGCAUCGCAUGCUAAGCUAGAGUCCCGGUCCUGGUCUUCCAAAUUGGCCAUAGGCCAUACUAUUAUUCAUUAAUCAUUCAUGAGGUUCCUCCCGGCAAAGUUUAGAAGAAUCCAACAAACUUUUUAAACAUUAUGGAUCACGAGCAUAGCCGUGUGUCUUGCUCUAAAUGCAACAGGACUCUGAUUCCCCUGGAGGGUGAUAUUAGCUUCAUGAUUCUCAUCUUGCCUUCCUGAACCUGUAGAAGAUGUAAAACCAUGAUCUAACUUUUCAGAACCUGGAACUGUAGAUGAACUGAAGACAAAGUUUUGCAUUGAUCAUCCUCUUGUUUAACUUUUUGGACGACAGGAUUGUUCGAAUGUCUUGCUGACAGACUAUGCUUCUCUUCCAGAAGCUGCAGCUGCAUCAAUUAUAAUUUGUUGCAGUCAGGAAAAUGACCAGUUGUGCAAAUAUCUACAAGGAAAUUCAUAAGUACGUACCAAAAUGACACAAAAUAAAAUGAGAAAGUAGUUCUACUAGAUGUUGAAGCAUCUCGAUAAGAAACUAUAUAUGUAGUCGAAGGAAAAGAGAAAUUUAACAAAAAUUACGAAAAUGGCUAAUGAUUUACAGGGCGAUCAAGGCGGUCUAAUCUUGGGAGAACAGGGGUGGUUAAAACUUGUUCUUGCAUUUCUUGUUUGUCCAUGAUGUUCAAAAUUUGAGGCCUUGUCCAGGGCUUUGUUGUGAGGACUUAGGAGGUACCCAUGACCUUGACUACUUCCUAUCUUUCUAUAAACGGAAAGAUGUAGAAAAUAUAUCUUUGCAUUUUAUAAAGAUGGACUCACGGUUUGCUGUUCAGAUAUUAAUAGUUGUAUGUGUGAAUAAUGAGAAAACAAGAUGUGGACACUGGCUCUGAAGUGGUAGCUUGUAAGAAAGGAAGAUAUAACAUAAUAGUUGCGAUUUUUAAUACUACUAUUUGUCAAUCAAAGUAGUAGUAGUAGUAAAUGACAACCACCGCGCCACACCCUCUUGUCACGUUCUCCCUUCUUGAUUAUGGAAACUGGUAGCAGACUUCAGCUAUUGCUUAUUCUUAUCUGAUCUGAUGAUGGGCACUGAUCUCAUAUCUCUACCGUUUCUCCCAUGCCACUCGUUUCUUCCUCUAUCUCUCUCUCGAUCAAAGUAUCGAGAUUGGAGUUAUCUUUGUUAGUCAAAUGCCUGCAUGCUAAGUUCAAUAUUGCCUCAUUUUAGGCAAGGUGAACUUACUGGAUGCAUAUCGUUUCUACUUUUCUACUGUAAAUAGAUGAUGCACACAAGAAAAUGCUGCCAAAGGAAAAGAAAUCUAGAACCCUUUUAAAUUCAUUUCUUGUUAUUUGAACAAACAAGCCAAGGAAUCGUCCCAAUAAACGUCAGUUUUUUGUGAGGUGUAGUUACAUUCAAAAGGUAGCAAUGGUUGGAUGCAAAGACAACCAACCAAGUCUUGACUUGCAUUAAUUUUUUUUCAAAUGUCUGUGUCAGUUUAAAGAAGUUUAAUGUAUUCUACGUCAUUUAGGUUAGUGUUGUGAAGACAAUCUAAGAUGAAAAGUUUUCUCCCAUAAGCAAUUAAGGAACAUACGUCUCGAAGAAGAAAUUUGCAGUUGAUUAAUGGAUCGAUGCUAUGGAGUUUGAACCAACUGAAUCUUCUUCACUAUGUAACCAAUUUUGGCUUUUCGCUCCCUUCCUAUUGAAAAUGAUGGGAUAUUCCAAAGUCAUCCAUGGAAGGAUUCGGGCAUGCUAUGCCAUUUCCUAGGAGGGUUGGAAUCAGCACUUGUAUUGGAGGUAUCAUUAGGCAGAGUCAAUAACCAAGCACCACCAAUGCAUUUCCAUUUCCACGCCAACAUAGUUAAGAUGGUUCCUAAGAAAUAGGUAAAAACAAAUACUACAAUGGUGACACUUCACCGGAUCCCUCACACGACUUGACAAAGAAUUUCCUUAAUGAUUGUCCAAUUUGUUCUUACAGAGAAUCCAAACAUAUAAAGCCCUUGAUUCUCUUUGAACUCCCAACAAGGAUUAUAUCUAUAUGGUAUGAUAGCUAUUUAAUAGUAACAAGAUGACCUUUCUUUUAAAUAGAAGAAGAAGAAGAAGAAGAAGAAUGUGGUACAUCUCUUUCCUAGGAAGGUUUUACACAGAGGCCAUAUCCACUAGUUGUUCGGGCAUGUGCAGAAUUUCCUCUUGUAAAUUGGCAAACAUUACAAUAAUUUGAACGCUUUCUUCAAGAGUCUGGUGUCUGUGUUUCAAUUCAAAUUCGUGAAAAUUAAUGAUUGCUUGAACUUGGCUUUAAUUAUUUUGGAGAAACAGUGUAGAGUGUGUGUACUAAUUCAGAUUUCCUUAUUUUAUGGUUGAUAGCCAAAGAUGCAGAAUCAUCAUGAUUUAUGAGCUUUAUGAUCUCCAUCAAAAGCCUUAAUCAAGCCAAAUGUGACGGACAUAGAUAUCCAUCCUCCUGUUAGAACUCUCAUUGCAGAUAAUCUUAUGGGUGAACCGCCAAGAAGGGCUCCAAGUCCCCCAAACAACACCAGAGCAAUAGUUGUUACCACCAUUAUUAUCACAAUCCUGGUUCCGUAUUGAGAUAUCGCCACAGCAGCCACUAGGGGAACCACCGAUCCACAAAGAAAAGCCAAGGCUGAUGCUGCCGCAGCCUUGUAUGGAUUAGGCAGGGCCUCCUCUUUGCCAUCAACUUGCUUUGCCAUACUUGCUCUUGCAUCUGUUACCAUGGAGACAAUUUCCCUUGCGAUGACUCACUUUCGCUGGCCAGAUUUACAAAUGGAGAUCUGUUUGGUUCUGGCACAGAUGGAUGAGGAGUUAGAAAAUGGAUGUUGAUAUUAUCACCAACUUGCAGGUCGUGCAACUUACCAUCUGAACAAGUUUUGUGGAUUGUUGAUUUUUCGAUGUCCCUCUGGGUUGCGACAGAAACAAACUCUCCAACAGCCAUGCUGCAGGCACCUGCAAGAGCUACUGCAGUCCCCGAAAUGAUCAUGGACUCCUGAUCGUCUUUUGCUGCACCUAUUCUGAGCAUCAUGGAUGCAGCCGAAAGCAAACCAUCAUUGCACCAAGAAUGGCUGCUCUAAGCCAUUGAGCUCUCUGCAUUCCCUGUCGUACUUUUUCUUGUGUAGCUGUUACAGAAAGCUUAUUUGCAGAACCAGGUUCAAUUGACAUAGAAGCAGCUAUGUAAUGUAGACAAAGGUCGGAAACGGAGUGUGGUCUUUGACUGGAAAGCACACUUCCUAAUUCUUUACUUAAAGUCUGCAAACCACACUCUAAUCACGUGGAAGCAAUGUGCAUGUUGAGAACAUAUACAAGUAACCCACCCUAUCCAAUGUCGUCCAAGAAACAGAUUCCCUUAGGGGGCAUCGGUGAAGGCUCCAAAAAUUGAAAUGUCAAAUUAUAACAUCAAAGCCGAAGACAGCUCUGAAGAAGCCCAUGCUGUACUUAUACAAGCUUCGUGAGUGCAACUUUGUUAACUUUCUUAUUCUAUUUCUCCAAAAAUUACAGCAGCUAGAAUGAAAUAAAAAUGUAUACUAACACAAAUCAAUUCUUACAAAAACAGCAUCACUCUGACACAUAAAAUACCUUAAAUAUACAACUUACCCAAAACUUUAAACAACAAUCUUGGACAUGAAAUUAUCUUGAAUUUGAAUAGAGAUCCAUUUUCAGACAAAAUACAAGCAUAUAUAUUAGGAGAAUUGCAGUCCCAUAGGGCAAUUAUCUCACCCGCGAGAUCAUGUUCCCAAGCUGAUGGUAGAAUUGUUCGUGAUAUAAACAUCUCGUUGCUCAUAAUAUACACUUAAACAGUACCAUUUUGAUUCAUAACAAGCCAAUUGAAACACUCCGAUGAUUUCUUCAUUCCUUAUGACACCAAACUCUCAGAUAAGUAAGACAAUCUUGAUAAUAAUGGUGAUGAGAUUAUAAUUAUGACAAUAACAAUACCAGCAAUAACAAGAAUCAGUGCUAUUAUGACGAGUUACGGAUAGAAUUCAAUUGAAUAUUUUUCCAUGACAAACGAAUUCUUUCCAACCAAUGGAACUUCACCAAUGAAACCAUUUCAGCUAGUUUACGGGCUCUUCCAAGUAGAAAACUGAUUUCAUUCUGUGACAAGCAAAUAGAACCAGCCUGCAACAGACAAAUCAUAAAUGAUGGCCACGCAAUAAGUUUAACAUGCUCCCAAAGUCAUUUUCCCAGCUGUCUCUGGCUCAUGUAGCUAAAAUCGUUGAUCAGUAUUAAAAUGUUUACCACUGUCUUUUACACGGAAAAGAAAAUAACUUCAUGCUCCAGCUUGAGACAGCUAGCUAACUAUACCAUGGGUGACACGCAUAUAAAACAUAGCAUCUAAAUAUAUCUUACCAGCACAUGCAAGGCCUUAAUACAACCAGUCACAUAUAACCAACAAGAGUCAAGUGGAAGGCAUCCUAUAUUUGGAAACUACAAC
rnacentral:lncRNA from 1 species